CCAGGUGUAUUUGUUUGGAUUCCUCAGCUACCGAUGAUAGAGCUUCCGGGCGGCUUGGGAAGGAGGGUAAUUUACAGAGGAACACGCACCGUGGUCUCGGGUCUCAGGGCUCAGAGUGACAAGUCUUUCUCCGUGUCUGCGCCUUGUCUCUGCUCUCAUCUGAGCAUCUGCCCCACCUCUCCCUCGUGCUGCACGUUGCCUUUCUCAGUAUAGUUUCAAGAAGACAAGGUCACCUUGAGGAUAAUCACGGUGUAAUCAGAAAGCUGAAGCGACAAGAGACCUCAACCGCACUACCUGGCCGGUAACACAGGAGCUGUCUCAGGAAGAAAGAGAAGGCACGCAGCAAGUGGUGACGGUUAAGAGGAUCCGCCACAGUGCUCGCUACAGGCAAGCUGCCCACAAUGAUGACGGCGGCUACACAGAGCAGCAAGGUCAUUCCCAGCCAAGGAAACACCCAUUGGCCACGGCCUUGACCAACGCAGGGAAGGAAUAUAGAGAGCCUUGGAUCCCAAACACUGGUUCCUGGGACAGUCAAUGUAAUAGGUGGGGAAGGACAGGAACAAGCAAAGAACACCAAGAAGGAGCAACCCAAGGAGCUGAACGAAUGGCUUCCCAAAAUCAAGGUCACAUUUUCCAGCCUUCGUGACAACCUGGUGUACUCAUGUAACAAAGUUCUGAUGUCUGGGAGAAGAGAAGAUUCUACAACCUCUGGCAAACAGUUCUCUGUGCUUAGCAACCUCUACCCUGUGAGAAUCCUAGGUGCCAUGUCAAAGCGACCAUUGCAGUCGAAGACCGCUAACCAAAGAUAGAAUGGGAAGAAAAUGACCUAAUUUACCUCGAGAUGACUCCGUACAAUACUUUGAAUUCUGGAAAACAUCAUGGAACAGUGAAGGCAUCAAAGCACAGCCAGUUCACAAUGUAAUGUUUUCCACAUUAUAUUACUCACGCCUGGAAGAGUCCAGAGGUCACUUGGGUCAACUCUUGAGAGGCUGUGGGAAUUAACCACUGUCACUCAUGGUACCCUUUUUCCAGACUUGUUCCAGUAAGUAAAUCUCCCAGUGGGAUGAAACUUAAUUAUUUGGACCACGUCUGUUCUGUUACGUAUUCUGCCUUGCCCAUGAUGAAUGCUUUAAUAAAACUGUAAGUCUCUUUUUUUUAAAACAA